rnacentral:rRNA from 1 species
CGUACCUUUUGUAUAAUGGGUCAGCGACUUAUAUUCUGUAGCAAGGUUAACCGAAUAGGGGAGCCGGAGGGAAACCGAGUCUUAAUUGGGCGUUAAGUUGCAGGGUAUAGACCCGAAACCCGGUGAUCUAGCCAUGGGCAGGUUGAAGGUUGGGUAACACUAACUGGAGGACCGAACCGACUAAUGUUGAAAAAUUAGCGGAUGACCUGUGGCUGGGGGUGAAAGGCCAAUCAAACCGGGAGAUAGCUGGUUCUCCCCGAAAGCUAUUUAGGUAGCGCCUCGUGAAUUCAUCUCCGGGGGUAGAGCACUGUUUCGGCUAGGGGGCCAUCCCGGCUUACCAACCCGAUGCAAACUGCGAAUACCGGAGAAUGUUAUCACGGGAGACACACGGCGGGUGCUAACGUCCGUCGUGAAGAGGGAAACAACCCAGACCGCCAGCUAAGGUCCCAAAGUCAUGGUUAAGUGGGAAACGAUGUGGGAAGGCCCAGACAGCCAGGAUGUUGGCUUAGAAGCAGCCAUCAUUUAAAGAAAGCGUAAUAGCUCACUGGUCGAGUCGGCCUGCGCGGAAGAUGUAACGGGGCUAAACCAUGCACCGAAGCUGCGGCAGCGACACUGUGUGUUGUUGGGUAGGGGAGCGUUCUGUAAGCCUGCGAAGGUGGCCUGUGAGGGUUGCUGGAGGUAUCAGAAGUGCGAAUGCUGACAUAAGUAACGAUAAAGCGGGUGAAAAGCCCGCUCGCCGGAAGACCAAGGGUUCCUGUCCAACGUUAAUCGGGGCAGGGUGAGUCGACCCCUAAGGCGAGGCCGAAAGGCGUAGUCGAUGGGAAACGGGUUAAUAUUCCCGUACUUGGUGUUACUGCGAAGGGGGGACGGAGAAGGCUAUGUUGGCCGGGCGACGGUUGUCCCGGUUUAAGCGUGUAGGUGUGUGUUCCAGGUAAAUCCGGUUCACUUUAACACUGAGGCGUGACGACGAGGCACUACGGUGCUGAAGCAACAAAUGCCCUGCUUCCAGGAAAAGCCUCUAAGCAUCAGGUAACAUCAAAUCGUACCCCAAACCGACACAGGUGGUCAGGUAGAGAAUACCAAGGCGCUUGAGAGAACUCGGGUGAAGGAACUAGGCAAAAUGGUGCCGUAACUUCGGGAGAAGGCACGCUGACACGUAGGUGAAGUGAUUUACUCAUGGAGCUGAAGUCAGUCGAAGAUACCAGCUGGCUGCAACUGUUUAUUAAAAACACAGCACUGUGCAAACACGAAAGUGGACGUAUACGGUGUGACGCCUGCCCGGUGCCGGAAGGUUAAUUGAUGGGGUCAGCGCAAGCGAAGCUCCUGAUCGAAGCCCCGGUAAACGGCGGCCGUAACUAUAACGGUCCUAAGGUAGCGAAAUUCCUUGUCGGGUAAGUUCCGACCUGCACGAAUGGCGUAAUGAUGGCCAGGCUGUCUCCACCCGAGACUCAGUGAAAUUGAACUCGCUGUGAAGAUGCAGUGUACCCGCGGCAAGACGGAAAGACCCCGUGAACCUUUACUAUAGCUUGACACUGAACAUUGAGCCUUGAUGUGUAGGAUAGGUGGGAGGCUUUGAAGUGUGGACGCCAGUCUGCAUGGAGCCGACCUUGAAAUACCACCCUUUAAUGUUUGAUGUUCUAACGUGGACCCGUUACCCGGGUUGCGGACAGUGUCUGGUGGGUAGUUUGACUGGGGCGGUCUCCUCCUAAAGAGUAACGGAGGAGCACGAAGGUUGGCUAAUCCUGGUCGGACAUCAGGAGGUUAGUGCAAUGGCAUAAGCCAGCUUGACUGCGAGCGUGACGGCGCGAGCAGGUGCGAAAGCAGGUCAUAGUGAUCCGGUGGUUCUGAAUGGAAGGGCCAUCGCUCAACGGAUAAAAGGUACUCCGGGGAUAACAGGCUGAUACCGCCCAAGAGUUCAUAUCGACGGCGGUGUUUGGCACCUCGAUGUCGGCUCAUCACAUCCUGGGGCUGAAGUAGGUCCCAAGGGUAUGGCUGUUCGCCAUUUAAAGUGGUACGCGAGCUGGGUUUAGAACGUCGUGAGACAGUUCGGUCCCUAUCUGCCGUGGGCGCUGGAGAACUGAGGGGGGCUGCUCCUAGUACGAGAGGACCGGAGUGGACGCAUCACUGGUGUUCGGGUUGUCAUGCCAAUGGCACUGCCCGGUAGCUAAAUGCGGAAGAGAUAAGUGCUGAAAGCAUCUAAGCACGAAACUUGCCCCGAGAUGAGUUCUCCCUGAGACUUAGAGUCUCCUGAAGGAACGUUGAAGACGACGACGUUGAUAGGCCGGGUGUGUAAGCGCAGCGAUGCGUUGAGCUAACCGGUACUAAUGAACCGUGAGGCUUAACCUUACAACGCCGAAG